CCUACGGGUGGCAGCAGUGAGGAAUAUUGGUCAAUGGGCGCGAGCCUGAACCAGCCAAGCAGCGUGAAGGAUGACUGCCCUAUGGGUUGUAAACCUCUUUUAUCAAGGAAUAAAGCGCGGCACGUGUGCCUUCCUGCAUGUAUCCUAUGAAUAAGGAUCGGCUAACUCCGUGCCAGCAGCCGCGGUAAUACGGAGGAUCCGAGCGUUAUCCGGAUUUAUUGGGUUUAAAGGGAGCGUUGACGGGCUGUUUAGUCAGCUGUGAAAAUUUGCGGCUCAACCGCAGAAUUGCAAUUGAUACUGGCAGACUUGAGUACGGUAGAGGUAGGCGGAAUGCGUGGUGUAGCGGUGAAAUGCAUAGAUAUCGCGAAGAACUCCGAUUGCGAAGGCAGCGUACUGGACUGCGACUGACGUUGAUGCACGAAAGUGUGGGUAUCGAACAGGAUUAGAUACCCCAGUAGUC
rnacentral:rRNA from 1 species